rnacentral:rRNA from 1 species
AUGCAAGUCGAGCGAGAAAGCGCUUCGGGCGUGAGUAAAGCGGCGGACGGGUGAGUAACACGUGAGUACCUUCCUCCCGGUGGCGGACAACGUGUCGAAAGGGUCGCUAAUACCGCAUGUGGUUUAUUUGUCUUCGGACGGAUAAAAGAAAGGCGGCUCUCCAUGGAAGCUGUCGCCGGGAGACGGGCUCGCGGCCCAUUAGCUAGUUGGCAGGGUAAUGGCCUACCAAGGCUUCGAUGGGUAGCUGGUUUGAGAGGAUGAUCAGCCACACUGGAACUGAGACACGGUCCAGACUCCUACGGGAGGCAGCAGUCGGGAAUAUUGGACAAUGGGGGAAACCCUGAUCCAGCCACGCCGUGUGGGUGAAGGAGGCCUUCGGGUCGUAAAGCCCUGUUCAGAAGGGACGAAACGGUUUUAGGUUAAUAACCUCGAGCCUUGACGGUACCUUCAAAGGAAGCACCGGCUAACUACGUGCCAGCAGCCGCGGUAAUACGUAGGGUGCAAGCGUUGCUCGGAAUCACUGGGCGUAAAGGGCGUGCAGGCGGUUCGGGAAGCGGGAUGUGAAAGCCCCGGGCUCAACCCGGGGAAGUGCGUUCCGAACUGUUGGACUUGAGUCCGGAAGAGGGUGGUGGAAUCCCUGGUGGAACGGUGAAAUGUGUAGAUAUCAGGAGGAACAUCGGUGGCGAAGGGGACCACCUGGUCCGGUACUUGACGCUGAAGCGCGAAAAGCUUGGGGAGCAAACAGGAUUAGAUAACCUGGUAGUCCACGCCCUAAACGGUGAGCACUCCGUGUGGGAGGUUUGACCCUUUCGUGCCUAAGCUAAGGCGUAAGUGCUCCGCCUGGGGAACUAGGGCGGCAAGGUUAACUUCAAAGGAAUUGCGGGGGCCCGGACAACGGUGGACCAUGUGUUCAAUUCGAUGCAACGCGAAGAACCUUACCUGGGUUUGACUACUCCGGACCGCCAUGGAGACAUGGUUUUCCCUUCGGGGACUGGAGGUUCAGGUCCUGCAUGGCUGUCGUCAGCUCGUCUCGUGAGAUGUUGGUUUAAGUCCCGCAACGAGCGCAACCCCUGUCUCUAGUUGCCAGCGGAUCAUGCCGGGGACUCUAGAGAGACUGCCGCUGUCAAACCGGAGGAAGGUGGGGAUGACGUCAAGUCCUCA